CUCUUUUUUUAAAAGAACUUUCCCUUUUCUAUUUUUAAUCUCUCAACUCCCUCUCCGUUCAGCUAAGGGUUGCCGCACAUUCGCAGUGGCCACCAGUCAUCGGUGAUGGGGACCGUCUCCUUUGGUGGCCGAAGUUGCAAAAAAAUGCUUUCCUACCCCUUUUGACCCCGAUCUGAAGGUGGUGCCUUCCCAAACUCAAAAAAAAUAAAAAAAAUUUGAUCAUUCCCUUUCUUUGAGCGCACACCCCUUUUUUCUUCGAAGCCCAGGCAGAACCUUAGUGGGUUCUGAGGUAUUCAGUGUCGGAGAAGACCUUCGAUGAUGGCAGGAAGCAAAACGGCACGGUUUCUUUUUUCUUUUGCAGGUAUUCGUGGCAAGGUGAACGACGCUGGAGAGCCGCGCCUUACCAUUUCGGUGAAAGGGAGAGGUAGGCCUUGGGCGAUGCGCGUGCUGAUGUGGCCAAGGCAAAGGAGCGGCGAUAGUUGGAGGCUUAGAGAUGGCUAGGGUUUCAAGUUUAGUUUUUAAGUUUUAGGCUUUGGGCUUUUAGGGUUUUAAGGUUAGUAGAUUGGGUAUUUAUGUUUUGGGCUUGUAAAUGGACUUUUUGUUAAUGGACUUUUAUUAUUUUUAUUUAUUUAUUUUUUGUCUGUUUUUGUCUGGGUCAGAUAGAUUUGGGCCAUUACAACUGCCCCUCUUUGCUUGUUGUUAUGUAAUGGGAAUGGAGCAAAAACUUUAAGAAAGGCUAGUUUUGUCUGGUCUUGUUGAACUCGACUUCUUUAGUGCUCCUCUUUUUCAA